rnacentral:tRNA from 1 species
GCCGAGGUGGUGGAAUUGGUAGACACGCAGUCUUGAGGGGGCUGUGGGCGUAAGCUCGUGUGGGUUCAAGUCCCGCCCUCGGCACCA